rnacentral:rRNA from 1 species
UUAAGCGACUAAGCGUACACGGUGGAUGCCCUGGCAGUCAGAGGCGAUGAAGGACGUGCUAAUCUGCGAUAAGCGUCGGUAAGGUGAUAUGAACCGUUAUAACCGGCGAUUUCCGAAUGGGGAAACCCAGUGUGUUUCGACACACUAUCAUUAACUGAAUCCAUAGGUUAAUGAGGCGAACCGGGGGAACUGAAACAUCUAAGUACCCCGAGGAAAAGAAAUCAACCGAGAUUCCCCCAGUAGCGGCGAGCGAACGGGGAGGAGCCCAGAGCCUGAAUCAGUGUGUGUGUUAGUGGAAGCGUCUGGAAAGGCGCGCGAUACAGGGUGACAGCCCCGUACACAAAAAUGCACAUACUGUGAGCUCGAUGAGUAGGGCGGGACACGUGGUAUCCUGUCUGAAUAUGGGGGGACCAUCCUCCAAGGCUAAAUACUCCUGACUGACCGAUAGUGAACCAGUACCGUGAGGGAAAGGCGAAAAGAACCCCGGCGAGGGGAGUGAAAAAGAACCUGAAACCGUGUACGUACAAGCAGUGGGAGCACGCUUCGGCGUGUGACUGCGUACCUUUUGUAUAAUGGGUCAGCGACUUAUAUUCUGUAGCAAGGUUAACCGAAUAGGGGAGCCGAAGGGAAACCGAGUCUUAACUGGGCGUUAAGUUGCAGGGUAUAGACCCGAAACCCGGUGAUCUAGCCAUGGGCAGGUUGAAGGUUGGGUAACACUAACUGGAGGACCGAACCGACUAAUGUUGAAAAAUUAGCGGAUGACUUGUGGCUGGGGGUGAAAGGCCAAUCAAACCGGGAGAUAGCUGGUUCUCCCCGAAAGCUAUUUAGGUAGCGCCUCGUGAAUUCAUCUCCGGGGGUAGAGCACUGUUUCGGCAAGGGGGUCAUCCCGACUUACCAACCCGAUGCAAACUGCGAAUACCGGAGAAUGUUAUCACGGGAGACACACGGCGGGUGCUAACGUCCGUCGUGAAGAGGGAAACAACCCAGACCGCCAGCUAAGGUCCCAAAGUCAUGGUUAAGUGGGAAACGAUGUGGGAAGGCCCAGACAGCCAGGAUGUUGGCUUAGAAGCAGCCAUCAUUUAAAGAAAGCGUAAUAGCUCACUGGUCGAGUCGGCCUGCGCGGAAGAUGUAACGGGGCUAAACCAUGCACCGAAGCUGCGGCAGCGACACUAUGUGUUGUUGGGUAGGGGAGCGUUCUGUAAGCCUGUGAAGGUGUACUGUGAGGUAUGCUGGAGGUAUCAGAAGUGCGAAUGCUGACAUAAGUAACGAUAAAGCGGGUGAAAAGCCCGCUCGCCGGAAGACCAAGGGUUCCUGUCCAACGUUAAUCGGGGCAGGGUGAGUCGACCCCUAAGGCGAGGCCGAAAGGCGUAGUCGAUGGGAAACAGGUUAAUAUUCCUGUACUUGGUGUUACUGCGAAGGGGGGACGGAGAAGGCUAUGUUGGCCGGGCGACGGUUGUCCCGGUUUAAGCGUGUAGGCUGGUUUUCCAGGCAAAUCCGGAAAAUCAAGGCUGAGGCGUGAUGACGAGGCACUACGGUGCUGAAGCAACAAAUGCCCUGCUUCCAGGAAAAGCCUCUAAGCAUCAGGUAACAUCAAAUCGUACCCCAAACCGACACAGGUGGUCAGGUAGAGAAUACCAAGGCGCUUGAGAGAACUCGGGUGAAGGAACUAGGCAAAAUGGUGCCGUAACUUCGGGAGAAGGCACGCUGAUAUGUAGGUGAAGUCCCUCGCGGAUGGAGCUGAAAUCAGUCGAAGAUACCAGCUGGCUGCAACUGUUUAUUAAAAACACAGCACUGUGCAAACACGAAAGUGGACGUAUACGGUGUGACGCCUGCCCGGUGCCGGAAGGUUAAUUGAUGGGGUUAGCGGUAACGCGAAGCUCUUGAUCGAAGCCCCGGUAAACGGCGGCCGUAACUAUAACGGUCCUAAGGUAGCGAAAUUCCUUGUCGGGUAAGUUCCGACCUGCACGAAUGGCGUAAUGAUGGCCAGGCUGUCUCCACCCGAGACUCAGUGAAAUUGAACUCGCUGUGAAGAUGCAGUGUACCCGCGGCAAGACGGAAAGACCCCGUGAACCUUUACUAUAGCUUGACACUGAACAUUGAGCCUUGAUGUGUAGGAUAGGUGGGAGGCUUAGAAGUGUGGACGCCAGUCUGCAUGGAGCCGACCUUGAAAUACCACCCUUUAAUGUUUGAUGUUCUAACGUUGACCCGUGAUCCGGGUUGCGGACAGUGUCUGGUGGGUAGUUUGACUGGGGCGGUCUCCUCCUAAAGAGUAACGGAGGAGCACGAAGGUUGGCUAAUCCUGGUCGGACAUCAGGAGGUUAGUGCAAUGGCAUAAGCCAGCUUGACUGCGAGCGUGACGGCGCGAGCAGGUGCGAAAGCAGGUCAUAGUGAUCCGGUGGUUCUGAAUGGAAGGGCCAUCGCUCAACGGAUAAAAGGUACUCCGGGGAUAACAGGCUGAUACCGCCCAAGAGUUCAUAUCGACGGCGGUGUUUGGCACCUCGAUGUCGGCUCAUCACAUCCUGGGGCUGAAGUAGGUCCCAAGGGUAUGGCUGUUCGCCAUUUAAAGUGGUACGCGAGCUGGGUUUAGAACGUCGUGAGACAGUUCGGUCCCUAUCUGCCGUGGGCGCUGGAGAACUGAGGGGGGCUGCUCCUAGUACGAGAGGACCGGAGUGGACGCAUCACUGGUGUUCGGGUUGUCAUGCCAAUGGCACUGCCCGGUAGCUAAAUGCGGAAGAGAUAAGUGCUGAAAGCAUCUAAGCACGAAACUUGCCCCGAGAUGAGUUCUCCCUGAC